GACGAACGCUGGCGGCGUGCUUAACACAUGCAAGUCGAACGGAAAGGCCCUGCUUUUGUGGGGUGCUCGAGUGGCGAACGGGUGAGUAACACGUGAGUAACCUGCCCUUGACUUUGGGAUAACUUCAGGAAACUGGGGCUAAUACCGGAUAGGAGCUCCUGCUGCAUGGUGGGGGUUGGAAAGUUUCGGCGGUUGGGGAUGGACUCGCGGCUUAUCAGCUUGUUGGUGGGGUAGUGGCUUACCAAGGCUUUGACGGGUAGCCGGCCUGAGAGGGUGACCGGCCACAUUGGGACUGAGAUACGGCCCAGACUCCUACGGGAGGCAGCAGUGGGGAAUAUUGCACAAUGGGCGGAAGCCUGAUGCAGCAAUGCCGCGUGCGGGAUGACGGCCUUCGGGUUGUAAACCGCUUUCGCCUGUGACGAAGCGUGAGUGACGGUAAUGGGUAAAGAAGCACCUGCUAACUACGUG
rnacentral:rRNA from 1 species